UACGUAGGGGCCUAGCGUUGUCCGGAAUUACUGGGCGUAAAGAGCUCGUAGGUGGUUUGUCGCGUUGUUCGUGAAAACUCACAGCUUAACUGUGGGCGUGCGGGCGAUACGGGCAGACUGGAGUACUGCAGGGGAGACUGGAAUUCCUGGUGUAGCGGUGGAAUGCGCAGAUAUCAGGAGGAACACCGGUGGCGAAGGCGGGUCUCUGGGCCGAUACUGACGCUGAGGAGCGAAAGCGUGGGGAGCGAACAGG
rnacentral:rRNA from 1 species